GGGGCGGGGGGGGGACCGGGAACCCGGCGCGGAGCCUCCUCCCCUCGUCUCCCCGUGCGAGCCUCAGCUCUCACCGCGGAUCUAAGCGUGGAGCGCGGGCCUCAGGCGUUAGUCGUGCUGUGCUUUUGCAUCUGCUGUCCCCUGUGCCUGGAAUCGGUCUCUGCUGGGUGCUGAGUAAACGAAGGCUACCCUGCAAGUGCUGGGGUCGUUCCUUCAGUCCUGCCCUCAUUCGUCCAACAAAUAUUUAUGCAGACAGCCCAGGACCACCCACUGGUGUGUGGCUUCAGAUUGCUCACCCUGGGGGAAGCCGGCUGCCGUGUUCGAAGGCAACCCUGUAAAGAGGGACCGAGGCCUGCGAACAACCACCCAAGGGAGCUUGGAAGUGGACCCACACACACACCCAGCUGAGCCCUCAGAUGAGAUCACAGACCCAGCCGACAGCUUGACAGCAACCUCGUGAGAGAAUGUGAGCCCGAUGUCCCAGCACCUGGGUUCCUGACCCACAGACACUUCGAGAGCAUGAACAGUGCUGUUUUAAGCCCCUAAGUUUGGGGGUAAUUUGUUAUGCAACAAAAGAUAGCAGGUGAGUAGGGACUGGAUUGGGCAUGACAGGGGCAGAAGCCAGAUGUCCAAAGAGUCAUGUCCGAGGAGUCUGGGGCCAACGCUGGGGAAUGCAGCUCUGGGCCUGCUCCUCAGAGAGCAAAGACCCUGCUCUCCCCAUGCUGGGCUUGGCUGCCAGGGGGACAGAGAUCCCUAACCUGGCUUCUGAGCUACUCUGCCUUCCUCCCAGUGCACGUGGGAUGGUGUCACCCUACCAGGAUUUUUGCAAACAAGAAUAACAAUCAGUCAUGAUUAGCAGAAGAAAGAGCAGAAUGUGCCCACGUGUGGCCCUGGCCCUUUCAGUCUGGACAGCCCCCCCAUGGAGCUGGUGACCGCUGGCCUUGACCUCCCUCCUCCCAGACUGACCUGGCCCAGAUGCCCAGAUGCUGGCGAGGGGCGCCAGGAUCUCACCCUGCCCAGAGACCCUCUGACAAGUACCCACAGCCUGGGGUGACUAUGUGGCUGUGGCCCAUCUCAUGCUCUCCUCAGGGUCGGGAUGAUUGGUGGCCAGCUGUUCCCACAGCAGAGCCGCUUCAGGUGGUCAGGACCACAGACAGCGUCAGAGGCUUGCGUUCUUCACCCACCGGCUGCUGCUGCGCAUCUGGAGUUCCGAAGCGCACAGAAGCAGGGGACUGUCCUCUGGGUCAGGCCCUGGCAGGAGAGGGGCAAGGUUCGGGUAACACCUGAGCUGUGCUGCAGGGUUUUCUGCCUUGUAUUUUGGCCGACGCCAUCAGAAUCCCUCCAAGCCGCCCAAGAUUGUAGGUGUGGCUGUGACCCGACCACACUCCCUCACGGAGAGGACCAGCCUAGGGUUGACAGGGACAUUCACACAGCGAACACUUCCCGAAGUGCUGCUGAACUCGGGGAGAAAGAAAGCCUCUGGGCCCCCAGGACCCCCAGAAUAGUGGGGAGAAGCCAACAGGCUGACUGCUGGGCGCUAAAUGGUGGCCCCAGAAAAGGUGUCCACCUCCUAACCCCUAGAAUCUGUGAAGGUGACCCUGUUUGGAGAAGGGGUCUUUGAGGGUGGGACUAAGUUAGGGAUCUCGAGACGAGGCCGUCCUGGAUUUGGAAGGCAGGGCCCAUCUCCAAUGUCUGGUGUCCUUAUAAGAUAGAGGAGAGGGACAGACACAGAGAGGGGCCACGUGAUGGAGGCAGAGACCGCAGGGAUGAGGCCACAGCCAGGGACACCUGAAGCCCGCAGAAGCUGGAAGGGGCAGGAAGGGUCCUCCCAUGGAACCUCUUGGUUGUUUUAAGCCACAAGACAGUGAUUUGUUGCAGCAGCUGCAGGAAAGCAGUACAGAGUGCGAUAGGCGCUGUGAGAGAAGAAGGUGCCCCUCCCACAGCCCCGGCUGGCCAUCCUGAGCUCCGAGUCCCCGGGGGCGCCUCCUGGGCUGGGCAGACAGCAGGGCGCUCCUCUCCCGCUCACACUCAGAUCGUCCGGGAGGGACAGGCAGCUGCCCCCCCCACCCCGGGAUCCAACCAGACCAGUGCAAGGAAUGGUGAGCCACUUGGCCUCAUCCUCACACAAAAACACCCCAAGUCACAGGGAGUUGACCCCAUGUGGACACUCCUGGGUGUCCCUGCCCGGGCGCUCCUUAGGGGGUCUGUUCUCAUACAUGCACUCAGGAGGUUUCAUCCGUGGCCAGCCCCAGGGACCCCAGACCCCAGGCCCUGUGGCCAAUAUGACCAAACGUCGGACUCAGAUGAACCACAAAUAGAGGUAUAUAACACCUGGUGAGUGCUACAACCCCCAGUAGAUGGGGCAGACCCUACAGGACUGACAGGACUGACCCUAAAGGACUAACAAAAACAGAAACAACACUGUCCUGAUUGCUGUGACCCUGAUUGAUUAAAUCAUUGGCCAUUGACAAUUGAUUCAACCUCCAGCCCCUCUCCCCUCCCCGGACAUCUAGGGGUGGGACUGAAAGUUGGAACCCUCUAACCACAAAGUUGGUUCUCCUGGCAACCAGCCCCCUCCUUAGGUAACCGAG